UGGGGAAUAUUGCGCAAUGGGGGGAACCCUGACGCAGCCAUGCCGCGUGAAUGAAGAAGGCCUUCGGGUUGUAAAGUUCUUUCGGUAUUGAGGAAGGUUGAUGUGUUAAUAGCACAUCAAAUUGACGUUAAAUACAGAAGAAGCACCGGCUAACUCCGUGCCAGCAGCCGCGGUAAUACGGAGGGUGCGAGCGUUAAUCGGAAUAACUGGGCGUAAAGGGCACGCAGGCGGUUAUUUAAGUGAGGUGUGAAAGCCCUGGGCUUAACCUAGGAAUUGCAUUUCAGACUGGGUAACUAGAGUACUUUAGGGAGGGGUAGAAUUCCACGUGUAGCGGUGAAAUGCGUAGAGAUGUGGAGGAGUACCGAAGGCGAAGGCAGCCCCUUGGGAAUGUACUGACGCUCAUGUGCGAAAGCGUGGGGAGCAAACAGGAUUAGAUACCCUGGUAGUCCACGCUGUAAACGCUGUCGAUUUGGGGGUUGGGGUUUAACUCUGGCGCCCGUAGCUAACGUGAUAAAUCGACCGCCUGGGGAGUACGGCCGCAAGGUUA
rnacentral:rRNA from 1 species